GCUGGGAGACGCGAGCGGCGGAUGGGUGAGUAACACGUGGGGAACCUGCCCCAUAGUCUAGGAUACCACUUGGAAACAGGUGCUAAUACCGGAUAAUAAAGCAGAUCGCAUGAUCAGCUUAUAAAAGGCGGCGUAAGCUGUCGCUAUGGGAUGGCCCCGCGGUGCAUUAGCUAGUUGGUAAGGUAACGGCUUACCAAGGCAAUGAUGCAUAGCCGAGUUGAGAGACUGAACGGCCACAUUGGGACUGAGACACGGCCCAAACUCCUACGGGAGGCAGCAGUAGGGAAUCUUCCACAAUGGACGCAAGUCUGAUGGAGCAACGCCGCGUGAGUGAAGAAGGUUUUCGGAUCGUAAAGCUCUGUUGUUGGUGAAGAAGGAUAGAGGUAGUAACUGGCCUUUAUUUGACGGUAAUCAACCAGAAAGUCACGGCUAACUACGUGCCAGCAGCCGCGGUAAUACGUAGGUGGCAAGCGUUGUCCGGAUUUAUUGGGCGUAAAGCGAGCGCAGGCGGAAGAAUAAGUCUGAUGUGAAAGCCCUCGGCUUAACCGAGGAAUUGCAUCGGAAACUGUUUUUCUUGAGUGCAGAAGAGGAGAGUGGAACUCCAUGUGUAGCGGUGGAAUGCGUAGAUAUAUGGAAGAACACCAGUGGCGAAGGCGGCUCUCUGGUCUGCAACUGACGCUGACGCUCGAAAGCAUGGGUAGCGAACAGGAUUAGAUACCCUGGUAG
rnacentral:rRNA from 1 species